CGCAGCAUGGGCGCAGCCUGAUGCAGCCAUGCCGCGUGUGUGAUGAAGGCCUUCGGGUUGUAAAGCUCUUUCAGCGGGGAGGAAGGCGCUUAGGUUAAUAACCUUGGCCAUUGACGUUACCCGCAGAAGAAGCACCGGCUUACUCCGUGCCUACAGCCGCGGUAAUAAGGAGGGUGCAAGCGUUAAUCGGAAUUACUGGGCGUAAAGCGCACGCAGGCGGUCUGUCAAGUCGGAUGUGAAAUCCCCGGGCUUAACCUGGGAAC
rnacentral:rRNA from 1 species